UUCACUUCCAAAAACCUCCAAAAACACAUUCCCGAUUCAAAACCCUAACUCAAUCCCGCCGCUCACCACAAUGUUGGCGACAGUAAACCGCUUCCAUCAGCAUAGCGUAAACCCUAAAGUCCAGCAAUUUCAUCAUCAUAGCGUAAACCGCUUCCAUCAACCAACCACCAAUUCGAUAAAUGUCUAAAAGACGAGAAAUUUCGAACACCACAGAGCUCGACGUCGAAGAAUCUUCACGAAAUGUAAAAAGCGAUAGAAAGGGAAGACUUUGGCUGAUAAGGCAACUGAUCCCGAGGCUGAACAGAUUCAACAUAUUGAAAUCGAAAUAAAAUCACUCCAUUGCAGGAGUUCUAUUUAACAUUUUAGUGGUAUGAUUGCUAGACUUAAUUCGAAGCAGAGGAAUGUAGUCCGAGAGAUGGGAUUCGGACCACAUUGACUGACGUACGGGGCACUCUCGUGUACUGGAUUGUAUUAAAUCAGCAUAUCGUGUCGAGCAGCGUCAAGCUAGUAGGAAACAAUCAUAGCAUAUUGAUGCGGAAGACGUCCAUAUGAUGUUUGGUUUCCCAAAAGGUUCCUUACCAAUCAGACGGAAGGAAAGCCUUGAGGGUCACCCGUAUGCAGACGGGAUUACAGAUCGUAUUGGCAAAGAUGAAAUGCAACUUCUUGACACUAAUGUCGAGAAUUAGAUGUUCGCAGUCCGCAGACAUUGAGGGAGAGAACAACUUCAAAAAAUGUUUCAUGAUCUUGAGAAGUUGCAUUUUGUACUUUUGCUUCGAAAUGUUGUUUAAUUUAUUCGAUAUAAUGCUUAGUUUGAGUAAGAAUUUGCUUAAGUUGUUGGAAAGAUUGCUUA